GACGAACGCUGGCGGCGCGCCUAACACAUGCAAGUCGAACGAGCGAGAGAGAGCUUGCUUUCUCGAGCGAGUGGCGGACGGGUGCGUAACGCGUGAGGAACCUGCCUCAAAGAGGGGGGCAACAGUUGGAAACGACUGCUAAUACCGCAUAAGCUAACGGCUCGGCAUCGAGGCGGGGGAAAAGGAGCAAUCCGCGUUGAGAUGGACGCGAGUCCGAUUAGCUAGUUUGUGGGGUAACGGCCCACCCAAGCGACGAUCGGUAGCCGGACUGAGAGGUUGAACGGCCACAUUGGGACUGAGACACGGUCCAGACUCCUACGGGAUGCAGCAGUGGGGAAUAUUGCACAAUGGGGGAAACCCUGAUGCAGCGACGCCGCGUGGAGGAAGAAGUUCUGCGGAUUGUAAACUCCUGUUGUUGGGGAAGAUAAUGACGGUACCCAACAAGGAAGUGACGGCUAACUACGUG
rnacentral:rRNA from 1 species